rnacentral:misc_RNA from 1 species
UACAGAGGCCCCAAGCGUUACCCGGAAUCACUGGGCGUAAAGGGUGUGUAGGUGGCGUAGUUAGUCUUCCGUUAAAUCGUCCGGCUUAACCGGACGGCCGCGGGAGAAACGGCUAUGCUCGAGGAUGCGAGAGGUGUACGGAACUCACGGUGUAGGGGUGAAAUCCGUUGAUAUCGUGGGGAACACCAAAUGCGAAGGCAGUACACUGGCGCACUCCUGACACUGAGACACGAAAGCGUGGGUAGCGAACGGG